AUACGAAGGGGGCAAGCGUUGUUCGGAAUAACUGGGCGUAAAGCGCACGUAGGCGGAUUGAUCAGUUAGAGGUGAAAUCCCAGGGCUCAACCCUGGAACUGCCUUUAAUACUGUCAGUCUAGAGAUCGAGAGAGGUGAGUGGAAUUCCGAGUGUAGAGGUGAAAUUCGUAGAUAUUCGGAGGAACACCAGUGGCGAAGGCGGCUCACUGGCUCGAUACUGACGCUGAGGUGCGAAAGCGUGGGGAGCAAACAGGAUUAGAAACCCGAGUAGUCC
rnacentral:rRNA from 1 species